CCUCGGUGCCGCAGCAAACGCAUUAAGUAUUCCGCCUGGGGAGUACGGUCGCAAGAUUAAAACUCAAAGGAAUUGACGGGGACCCGCACAAGCAGCGGAGCAUGUGGUUUAAUUCGAAGCAACGCGAAGAACCUUACCUAGACUUGACAUCUCCUGAAUUACUCGUAAUAGAGGAAGUCCCUUCGGGGACAGGAAGACAGGUGGUGCAUGGUUGUCGUCAGCUCGUGUCGUGAGAUGUUGGGUUAAGUCCCGCAACGAGCGCAACCCUUAUUAUUAGUUGCUACUAUUAAGUUAAGCACUCUAAUGAGACUGCCGCGGUUAACGUGGAGGAAGGUGGGGAUGACGUCAAAUCAUCAUGCCCCUUAUGUCUAGGGCUACACACGUGCUACAAUGGCUGGUACAACGAGCAGCAAACCCGCGAGGGGGAGCAAAACUUGAAAGCCAGUCCCAGUUCGGAUUGUAGGCUGAAACUCGCCUACAUGAAGUUGGAGUUGCUAGUAAUCGCGAAUCAGCAUGUCGCGGUGAAUACGUUCCCGGGUCUUGUACACACCGCCCGUCACACCAUGAGAGCCGGUAACACCCGAAGCCCGUGAGGUAACCGUAAGGAGCCAGCGGUCGAAGGUGGGAUUGGUGAUUGGGGUGAAGUCGUAACAAGGUAGCCGUAGGAGAACCUGCGGCUG
rnacentral:rRNA from 1 species